CCUGCAUAUGGGGAUGGGGUGUGAUGGAGGAGCUGGGGAUGCUGGAGGAAACGGAGGGGCUGGAGGCUUUCCUGCGUCCAGCAGCCAAAAAGAAGGGUCGGGGAGGGGUGGGUGUGUGUGAGAAGGAGGGAGAGACACGCUCCACAGACCGCGCCAGCCCCAUUUCCCUGGUAAUGUGUCACCAGCAAUGAGGGGAAGCCCGCCCGGCCCUGCCCGAUUUAAGCCGGGCUACGGAGGGCGCUGACCCGAGCGGGACCGGGUAAGCCAGAAGGAGGAUGAGAUGCGGCAAGGAGCCGGCCCGUCUCUCCGAAAACAUCCCGGAUAACCAUGCCACCUUGUCAAACGCUGCCUCUUUACACAACCCAUUUGCUGCAUCGCAGAGUCAUAACGGCGGUGAUGGAUGGGCCGGGGACCCCCCCGGCGCCCCCCCGGCGCGGGGAGGAAUGCGGGCGGGCCGAGCCCCCGGCCCGCACCCCGCCGGCCACAAUUUAUAGUCUGUAUAUAUUUGCUGGCUCCAGAUAUCGGCAACGUAAUGGAUGGUUAUAUUUUAUGAAUCCGAGCCUCGGAUCUGGGGACUCGGGAGUCCCUUCCUUGUAUGGUGCACUCCUGUCUCGCCCCUAAUCCGCCCGGCAGGCAAUAAACUUCCCCGCUAAACGCGCCGGGAGAUAACAGUCAACUUUUAUUGAUUACAAGAAAAUGCUCGAAACUAAAUAAAGGGCUUUUAUGAGCAUCCCUGCGAAGA